rnacentral:rRNA from 1 species
UACGGGGGGAGCAAGCGUUGUUCGGAUUUACUGGGCGUAAAGGGCGCGUAGGCGGUCAGCACAAGUCAAUUGUGAAAUCUCCGAGCUUAACUCGGAAAGGUCAACUGAAACUGUGCGACUAGAGUGCGGAAGGGGCAACUGGAAUUCUUGGUGUAGCGGUGAAAUGCGUAGAUAUCGUGAGGAACACCAGAGGCGAAGGCGGCUACCUGGACAAUUGCUGACGCUCAGGCACGAAAGCGUGGGGAGCAAAAGGG